rnacentral:rRNA from 1 species
GUUAACGCUGGCGGCGUGCCUUACACAUGCAAGUCGAACGGGGCUAUCAGCGGAUGGUAGCUUAGUGGCGAACGGGUGAGGAAGACGCAGGGACCUACCGACCAGAGGGGGAUACCCGCUGGAAACGGCGGAUAAAACCGCAUACGCCCGGGUGAAAGCCCGGGGAAAAGCACUACGGUGUUACUGGACGAGGGACCUGCGGCCCAUCAGGUAGUUGGGGAGGUAACGGCUCACCAAGCCGACGACGGGUAUCUGGCGUGAGAGCGCGAACAGGCACAAGGACACUGAGAGACGGGUCCUACUCCUACGGGAGGCAGCAGUGGGGAAUAUUGGACAAUGGACGCAAGUCUGAACCAGCCAUGCCGCGUGCAGGAUGACGGCCCUAUGGGUUGUAAACUGCUUUUCCACGGGAAGAACCCUCCGACGUGUCGGAGACUGACGGUACCGUGGGAAUAAGCAUCGGCUAACUCCGUG